rnacentral:rRNA from 1 species
UACGGAGGGAGCAAGCGUUACUCGGAAUUAUUGGGCGUAAAGGGCGCGUAGGCGAUUCGAAAAGUCAACUGUGAAAGCCCAGGGCCUAACCCUGGAAGUGCAGCUGAUACUGUUGAAUUUGAGUUCCGGAGAGGAAGGCAGAAUUCCCGGUGUAGCGGUGAAAUGUGUAGAUAUCGGGAGGAAUACCAGUGGCGAAGGCGGCCUUCUGGACGGAUACUGACGCUGAGGCGCGAAAGCUAGGGGAGCAAACGGG